GGAUUCAGGAACAAGGAAGAGAUGUUAUUCACCACCACCACCACCACCACCACUCUCUCUGUCUCUCUCUCUCUCUUUCCCCCCACGAGCCUCCUCUCCCACCAAAAACUUCUCAAGACACCCACUACCUCCUCUCCCAGCUAGAUAGAUCCCAUCACAAAAGCAGAACUAUCAAUGAAGAGGAAGGAAAUUGGAGAAGAAGAAGAAAGGAAGAUAGAGUCGACCAUGACAUCAGUUGGCUGGAAGUAGAUGAAGAGGCAAUACCCGAUCACAAGCUCAAUUGAAGUUCCAACUCCAAAAUCGCAAAAACCCAAAAUCGAACUCAGAAUACCCAUCUCUAAUCUGCCCUUAAAAUUUCUGUUUCUAGUAGCUGUCCACCAAAGGGUUUUAGAAUUUUUCUUAUUUAGUUCCUAAGAUAGUAUUUGAUUCAUUGAGCUGAUGCUGCUACAUGGACAGGGACACCUGCGAUGUUUUUUCAGAAUGCCCCACCCAUGAAUUUCUUUCCAUUUCUGGAAAAUUCAAGGAAUGUGCCAACAACUCUUAGAGACUUUAAAUCCAUGGAUUUGUUCCCUCAACAAGCUGGUUUUGGCUCCUGUGUCCCAUAGAAGAGUAUGCGAAUGGGAAUGGGAAUGUAAUGUAAGUAGCAGAAAAGAAUGCUCAGUUGGCAGGGCCACUUGUGAAUGUGAAGCAUGAGGAUGGUGAUGACUGAUGAACAAUUGCAAGAGAUUAUUUGAUUCGGUGUAAAAACACUUAUUCGACUUUGGAUAGCAGAGGGGUUUGUGGAACAAGUUAGAGGGGCUAAGGGAGUGUCUUUGGAGCUGUCACAUGAGCAAGGACUUCCCUCUCCUUUUACAUAUUCUUCCCCUUGAUUCAGGAACGGAGAGUUUUAGCUGACGAAAUUCAAAACUUUGGCACCUGUUAGAUUGAAUUAGGCUUGUGGGUUUUGAAUUGGUCAGUGUUAAGUAUCUAACGCAAAAUAAAUUGGCAACGAGUGGUCGUCCAAGGUUAUCCAAGGCUUGAAAUUCACUCUGUGAGAUUUUAUAUUAUUGAGAACGGUUGGUGGACGUUGUUCUAGCUCCGGUACCUGUUUUCUUGGGUUUUGAACCAAAGUUGAUAGAAACUAGAGCCUUAAAAACCUUAU